UACCCAGUCAAGAUUCGCGAUGUAUUCUUCGUUCCAACGACUUUUGGCACUUAGCCGCUCUUUUUUGGAGGCAAUUUCAUGUUAGCCACACCUAAUAGGAGCUUGUUUUGAGUUACCCAUCCCCUUCGAUAUUGAUUCGACAUUGACCCACUCCUAUUUGGAUCCAAAUUGGCGUUACCUACUCCCUUUGGCAUUGACCCACUUCUAAGCCUAAGUGUUUUUAGCGUGAGUUAAUAGGAACCCUUUGGCGAGUUUAGUAGUGGGUUAGGAGAUUGCAUGUUUUAAAUUGUGUGCUUUUAACUCUUUAUGCUUGUUGAAUAUGUUUAUGGAUUAUACCGUCAAUUAUACUCUUGCAUUGCUGUGUUCAUAAAAACAUACUGAGUUUUGUGAGAUUUGCUAUAUUGUUAAAGCAUAUCCAUAUAUUGUUUCGUGAUUAA